rnacentral:misc_RNA from 1 species
UGAGUUCGCGGGAGAGUAGGUUAUUGCCAGGGUUUUUAUUUUAUACUUUAAACCUUGAAUUUAUUUUUUAAACGUUUAUAUUAUUUGAAUGUUUUAUUCAAAUAAUAUAAAAAAUAAUAUAUAUAUUGACAUGGAUUAAACAAAGAUAUAUAUUAUUCUAUGUUGUAUGAACAAAUUGGCAAAAUAGAGAUGGAAGAUAAAAAUAUGGUCAAAGUAAUAAGAGUCUAUGGUGAAUGCCUAGGAGCUUUAAGGCGAAGAAGGUCGUGGUAAGCUGCGAAAAGCUUGGGGGAGAAGCAAACAUUUAUUGAUCCCAAGAUUACCGAAUGGAGUAAUCC